rnacentral:lncRNA from 1 species
GGCAGUUACUAACAUGUUUAGUAACUCGGAAAGAGUACUAUCCAUCUUAUUCAUGUUGUAGUUCAUUACGAACUGCGACAAUGAAUCAGAAAGAGAAGCCAAUAUGAAGUCCUGGGCCAAUUCCCCGUCAAGUGGAGUACGAAGGUUCUCCAAUUGUUCAAUGAAUCCUAUCAUCUUCAGUACAUGUUGAUGCACUGGAGCCCCCUUGACCAUCU